rnacentral:rRNA from 1 species
GACAGAGGGGGCAAGCGUUGUUCGGAUUUACUGGGCGUAAAGGGCGCGUAGGCGGCCUCUGCAAGUCGACUGUGAAAUCUCCGGGCUUAACCCGGAAAGGUCAGCCGAUACUGCAGGGCUAGAGUGCAGAAGGGGCAACUGGAAUUCUCGGUGUAGCGGUGAAAUGCGUAGAUAUCGAGAGGAACACCUGCGGCGAAGGCGGGUUGCUGGGCUGACACUGACGCUGAAGUGCGAAAGCUAGGGGAGCGAACGGG